CCUACGGGGGGCAGUAGUGAGGAAUAUUGGUCAAUGGGCUUACGCCUGAACCAGCCAAGUCGCGUGAGGGAAGACUGCCCUAUGGGUUGUAAACCUCUUUUGUCAGGGAGCAACGCCGGCUACGUGUAGCCGGACUAAGAGUACCUGAAGAAAAAGCAUCGGCUAACUCCGUGCCAGCAGCCGCGGUAAUACGGAGGAUGCGAGCGCUAUCCGGAUUUCUUGGUUUUAAAGGGUGCGUAGGCGGAAUGCCAAGUCAGCGGUAAAAUCGCGGGGCUCAACCUCGCUCCGCCGUUGAAACUGGCGUUCUUGAGUGGGCGAGAAGUAUGCGGAAUGCGUGGUGUAGCGGUGAAAUGCAUAGAUAUCACGCAGAACUCCGAUUGCGAAGGCAGCAUACCGGCGCCCAACUGACGCUGAAGCACGAAAGCGUGGGUAUCGAACAGGAUUAGAUACCCCGGUAGUC
rnacentral:rRNA from 1 species